GACGAACGCUGGCGGCGUGCCUAAUACAUGCAAGUCGAACGCUGAAGAGAGGAGCUUACUCUUCUUGGAUGAGUUGCGAACGGGUGAGUAACGCGUAGGUAACCUGCCUUGUAGCGGGGGAUAACUAUUGGAAACGAUAGCUAAUACCGCAUAACAAUGGAUGACACAUGUCUUUUAUUUGAAAGGGGCAAUUGCUCCACUACAAGAUGGACCUGCGUUGUAUUAGCUAGUAGGUGAGGUAAUGGCUCACCUAGGCGACGAUACAUAGCCGACCUGAGAGGGUGGAUCGGCACAACGGGAAUGGGACCAGGGCCAGGAUCCCACGGGAGGCAGCAGUAGGGGAUCUUCGGCAAUGGGGGCAACCCUGACCGAGCAAAGCCGCGUGAGUGAAGAAGGUUUUCGGAUCGUAAAGCUCUGUUGUAAGUCAAGAACGGGUGUGAGAGUGGAAAGUUCACACUGUGACGGUAGCUUACCAGAAAGGGACGGCUAACUACGUG
rnacentral:rRNA from 1 species